UCCAGGCCCUACGGGGCGCAGCAGGCGCGAAACCUCCGCAAUGCACGCAAGUGCGACGGGGGAACCCCAAGUGCCACUCUUAACGGGGUGGCUUUUCAGAAGUGUAAAAAGCUUCUGGAAUAAGGGCUGGGCAAGACCGGUGCCAGCCGCCGCGGUAACACCGGCAGCUCAAGUGGUAGCCGCUUUUAUUGGGCCUAAAGCGUCCGUAGCCGGUCUGAUAAGUCUCUGGUGAAAUCCCGCAGCUUAACUGUGGGAAUUGCUGGAGAUACUAUCAUGACUCGAGGUCGGGAGAGGCUGGAGGUACUCCCAGGGUAGGGGUGAAAUCCUGUAAUCCUGGGAGGACCACCUGUGGCGAAGGCGUCCAGCUGGAACGAACCUGACGGUGAGGGACGAAAGCCAGGGGCGCGAACCGGAUUAGAUACCCGGGUAGUCCUGGCCGUAAACGAUGUGGACUUGGUGUUGGGAUGGCUUCGAGCUGCCCAGUGCCGAAGGGAAGCUGUUAAGUCCACCGCCUGGGAAGUACGGCCGCAAGGCUGAAACGUAAAGGAAUUGGCGGGGGAGCACCACAACGCGUGGAGCCUGCGGUUUAAUUGGAUUCAACGCCGGG
rnacentral:rRNA from 1 species